UAUUGGGGUGGCCAAAAAGUUUAUUCCGGUUUUUCCACAGCACCUUAUGGGAAAAACUCAAACGAACUUUUUGGUCAAUCCAAU
rnacentral:miRNA from 1 species